GUGCCNGCCGCCGCGGUAAUACGGAGGAUCCAAGCGUUAUCCGGAAUCAUUGGGUUUAAAGGGUCCGUAGGCGGUCAGGUAAGUCAGUGGUGAAAGCCCAUCGCUCAACGGUGGAACGGCCAUUGAUACUGUCUGACUUGAAUUAUUAGGAAGUAACUAGAAUAUGUAGUGUAGCGGUGAAAUGCCUAGAGAUUACAUGGAAUACCAAUUGCGAAGGCAGGUUACUACUAAUGGAUUGACGCUGAUGGACGAAAGCGUGGGUAGCGAACAGGAUUAGAUACCCUGGUAGNNNNCGCCGNAAACGANGGANACUAGNUGNUGGGAGCAAUCNNNGUGGCUAANCNAAAGUGAUAAGUAUCCCACNUGGGGAGUACGUUCNCAAGAAUGANAC
rnacentral:rRNA from 1 species